AUAGAAAUAUGUUUUUUCCAUUUUUACAGGCAAACCACUUCAAUAGAACAUGGCUGGCGGCCAUAUGGACAUAUAUGAAUGCAACAAUUAAUUCAGCAAAGAAAGCUGCUUGUGGCAAGUCUUGAAUAUGCCAUUCCAGGUAGUGCUUUGAUGAUAAAUGAGGAGAAGAUUGCAAAGAAAAUGACAGCAACAUUUAUAAAAAGGUUUUGCCUCAAGGUUGUCCUAUCCUGGAUGAUCCCUUCAGCUCUAACAUUUGCAGAAUCAAAGCUUUAGCUUCCAGUCAUCACUGUUCACAUGCAGGGAGCACACAUGGUGUGUGGUUAGGAUCUUCUCCCUUUAGAAUUCCUCGGCAUCAAGAGUAGAUAAAAGGAGAAAUAAAAGUAUCAGGAUAUUAUGUGGGCUUCAUGUGCAUUUUACUGAAAGAUAACUGUUUAACC
rnacentral:lncRNA from 1 species